rnacentral:tRNA from 1 species
CUCCAGUUAGCCUAAUGAUUAAGGCUAUGGAUCGCCCAUCCAGAAACGGCGGGUUCGAUUCCCGUUCUGGUCG